rnacentral:lncRNA from 1 species
UUUUUUUUUUUUUUUUUUUCCUUUUAGGGCCGCACCUGUGGCAUAUGGAGGUUCCCAGGCUAGGGGUCGAAUUGGAGCUAUAGCUGCCAGCCUACGCCACAGCCACAGCAACACCAGAUCCAAGAUGCAUCUGCGACCUACACUACAGCUCACAGCAACGCCGGAUCCUUAACCCACUGAGUGAGCCAAGGAUCAAACCCGCAGCCUCAUGGUUCCUAGUCUGAUUUGUUUCCACUGCGCCACGAAGGGAACUCCAUAAUUUUCUUGUAAAUAAUAUUAAAAUCCACUGAGCCAUUAGGUUAGAGUCUUCCAGAAGCACUGGGCACCCCCAAAACGGGGCCCAGAGCUGCCAUCAGCCACCUGUCCUCCUCCUGGCUCAGACACUUCACAACAGCAAUCAAAAUAAAUGCCCUGUGGUCCAAGCAGUCCUGUGGGUGCACAAAAUGUAGGUGGGCUCCCUACAGGGUGCCCCCAGAAGUGCCACAAACAGUGUCUCAUUCCCUGGGUGAGUGGCUCUUCAGAGCCCCACACAGGGCAGGGCCACCACCCUGGGUACUGUCUUCUCUGAGCCCAACACAGAUGGAGACACGCCCACAGAAGAACAGGCCAUGGCACCUGUGCAGGUGAGCUCUGCUUUCUGCACAAGAUUGGGUCUAAGCAGCCUAAUACCUUAAAUCUCCUUUAAGCCCACUAAAGGCAUUGUUAUUUAAGUCAUCUGUGUAAAGUGACUCAUUCCCCCUCCACAUUCCCCCUCCCUCCCCACGACACGUAAUUUAUUUGUUCUUCAGAGAUUCAGAUUCUGAACACCAAGCAUGCUGAAAAGGAGACUCACCUAUUUUUAAAUGAUUUUUUUCCAACAACAACAACAGCAAUGACAAUACCGGAAAUUCCCACCCUCCCCCGACAGCACGCCUGAAUGCCUGGAAGCGGUUUCAAGCCUCAGAUGAAAAUCCAGGGGACCGGCAGGCCACAGAAGGGGAUUCUUCUGUAUCCUAAUAAACUUGAUCAAAUCUUAUCUGUGUCCAUUCCCAUGCCAACAUCCCCCUUGGCUCAGUCCUGUCCAUGCUCAGGCAAGUCUUAGAUGGAGCCCCGAUGACUCACGCCUGUGGGUUUUCCAUGCAUCUUCCUCCUUCCUCUUUCUGGAGCCCUGCCCCUCCUUCAGCCUCUUCCUUCCAUCUUUUCCAGAGCCACCUCCUUUGUCUUGGCCUCAGGCCCUUCUUUCUUUUAAAAAAUUUGUGAUGAAAUAUUCCAGACACACAAAAAGGCAUAAUAAUAAUAUCACCAAUACCUGUGUCCCCACCACCUGGCUGCAUCAAUAAAAGGCAGCUCCUUCUAAUCCCAGGCCCACAUCCCUCCCUGAUACCACACCUUGCAGCAGCCUUUGUUCCAGUCUUCCUUGGAAAAAGCUCAGGUUGCUGCAUCCAUCUGAGGCAUACCCAGCUGUCACCUGGAUUCUCUGUAUUCAUCCUUCCUCUACCCUUCGUGGCAAUGUGCAACCUGAGCCCCCAGCCCACCCAUCCCCCUUUGUGAUUUGACUGCUUCUUUAUCCCCAGGGUUCUGGCUCACCAAGGUCCCCGCCCUGAUGGAAGUCACACAGGUGGGUCAGUGGACCCAGGACUUGCAACAGGUGAUACCACGGGGCAGAACCACGUCCUCCUUUUCCACACCAGUAGCUUAGGGACAUUCAUGGCUUCUUUGUGCAUCCGGUGCUGGACUAGGGAGGAGAGAGGACUGAGGGACACUCUGCCUUUCCAUGCCAUGCAGUCUCUGGCGGUCAACAGACAUGCACACAGAGUGGGCAGCCCAGUGUCAAGUGGGCAGGCUGGGAUCUGAGGGAUCCACCUGGCAGUGACAACAGGGGCUUUGAGCCCGAGUUCAGGGGCUGGGUGGGAUGGAGACAGACAUGGACAAGGAGGGACCUUCCAGAUGAGACAGCCAGUGUAUCUGUAGGGAGAGCUGGAGGCAGAGAAGGGGAUCCAAUCGGGCUGAAGAGGAUGGAGAUGAGAUGGGCAAGUUGGGCCGGCCGGGCCAGGUUUUGGGUGGCAAUGGGCAGAGGGGUUGGGUGUUCAUGCUAAGAAAGCUGGGGCGCCAGCCUCUGCCAGGCCCUCCUGCAUGCUCAGCUCCUAGUCGUGGGAGGGUGUGCCUGUGCCUGGAAGCCCUUUGUCGCUGCCUCCCCACCCACCGGCCCCACCCCACAGCCUGCGGAGGACAUGGAAGAGCCGCCCAAACCACUGACUGCACUGUUGACAUUGGCAGGGCCCUGGUAGAGGCGUCAGAUACCCUCUCACCUGCAGCCCGCCCUGGAAACAAAGGGUGCCCACAGAGCCAGGAGGCUCCGUGGUGCCUGGUACCCAUGGUCCUGGGCAGGGGGCAAAGUUCAGGUGCGGUGCGGUGCAGGGCGGGGGGCCCUCCCCACCUCUGCAGGAAUCUCCAGACCGGAGUUCAGCAUCGCCUCCCACCUGUUCUCCUGGCCUUGUUCUUCACCAGGCACCCAGCACUUGCCCCCAGCCCCUGCUCACACCCAUCAUGGCCCAGGCACCGACGCCAGGCCCUCUGUCAAGCAGGUGUAUUGGGACAUAGGUAUCUGGCUUUGGUGUCAUCUGCCUCUGCCAGGUCAGUCUUCACCCCUUUUCUGUCCAAGGCCCUCACUGCAGCCACCCUCUGUCCACACCCGGCUAGCCAAGACCACAUGCAAUUUGCUGAAGUGGAAGUGGCUGCCAACAACGCAAAGGGUAUCCCCUAAGGUGGCUAUAAUUCAGCAGAGUCAAGUCAAAGCUCAAGGUUCAGGCAGAAGCAAGAGGAGGGGAGGUGGUAGUACUGAAAGGCCACGCCAGGGACCAAAUGCCCACGGAUACGGAAGGUGGUGGCUGCUCGUCUGGGAGUGCUGUGCUGAACCCACCCUACCAGGAAAAGUGGAAAGCUGCCAAGAAGAGGAGGACAGUUUGAGUCCAUUUUAAGAAUGCUCUGAGGAGUUCCCUGGUGGUGCAGCUGGUUAAGGAUCUGGUGUUGUCACUUCAGUGGCUUGGGUUGCUGCUGUGCUGUGGAUUUGAUCCCUGGCCUGUGAACUUCCACAUGCUGUGGGCAUGGCCAAAAAAAAAAAAAAAAAAAAAGAAUGCUCCAAGAUGUGAAAGAAUGUAUUUUGUCACCUCCUCCUGAUUCUACAAACAUACUCUGGAAAUGCCAACAGCAGGGGUAGCAACUCUAUAGAGCUGCCUUUCUCUCUGACCCUUUGGGGGUGGAACUUUUGAGCCUCCCUAGGAAGCUGCAGCCCUAGCCCCCUCCCCGGCCCCACCCUCUGGACUGGGUGUUCCUGGAGUCCAGGCUUAGCUCCAUCACAGCACCCACCCCACCACCCUGAGAAUCACCCCCAGAGGCAGGAGUUGUGUCUUCCUCAUCUUUCUAUCCCCCCAAUCCAGCUGCAGGAGAGAUGCUCCACAGAUGUUAGAUGAAGGAAGGACCACCCCCAAGUGGUUCAUCACAGGUUCAAGAGGAAGAGAGCCUUGGAAGAGGGGUGUCUUCUAUUGGGAAUUUUCUCUGGCGAUUUUUCAGUGACAGCCGGAGGCCCCCCUGACCAUUUCAUGUGGGUGCUCUGAGCUGAUUCCUCCAACCUGUCAAGCCCAGAGUGAGGCCUCCCUCGCACCCCCGUAGAUGGCAGUCCUCACCUCGUGGUCAUCACCCAUUCUCUCCGAGGUGCCCGCCACUUUCUGCAUCCCUUCCACCUCUGAUUUACACCCAGGCCUCUCUGGUGGGGAGAGGAUACCCUGAAUAGGUUCCCCCCGCCCCCAAGAGACACACUGGGGGCUAGCCCCCUCCUGUUCACUCAUGCAACUCUCCUCAUAACCAGUCGAGGCCCAUCUCCCCUGUAAACCUUCCCAGCCUCCGAUCCACACUGGUCUUCCCAGAUAAAUACACAGGUUUUCACUAGCUCUAUAUUUGCUUGACCACUGAUCUUAAGUGUUCCCUUCUGGCCUGUUUGUAAGGUAAAGUCUCAAGAGCUGAAUGCUACUGUGAAAAAUGACUAAUUCCGCCUUAUAAUUUUCUGGAGGCAAGGCUCAUGCAGAGCGGGAAAGCACGUGUUAGAAGGCUUUGAGCUUGCCUGGUGAUGGAGCCAGAACUCAAACUGCUCCAGUUUAGGGAUCCCGCCUCUUCAGGUAGUGUGGGUUUUGCCUCCUUAUCUACAGCAUAAUCCUGGAAGAUAAGGCCUGUGCUACAUGCAUUGCCAUAUCCCAAAUCGAGGACGAAGCAAAGAGUUGCCCAGAUUAGGGCCCUGUGAAUAUGUGCCAAGUGGUUGUGUUAGGAUCACUUAGGACAAAGCCUCCUAAAAAAGGUGAAAAAAGACUGGUGUUUACAGUAAAUGGCGCUGAGUCAACUGGGUAUAUAAACAAAAAUUCAUUUGAGAUGGAUCAUAGACCUAAACAUGAAAGGUAAAAUAAUAAAGCUGCUAAAUGAAAACGCAGGAGAAUGGCUCUUCAUGACCUUGGAUUGACAAAGAGGGUACUUCAAAGGAAAGGAAAACCACACACAAAAAUCGGAAAGACUGAUAAAUUAGACUUUAUUAACAUGAAGACUAUCUGUCAAUCAGACGACCAUUAAGAGAGUAAAGUGGCAAUCUGUAGAAGAUAGUGACAAAGAACUGAUAUGCAGAAUAUACAAAGAAAGCCUGAAAGUGAGAAAAAGACAGACAUGCCAAUUAAAAAAUGGGAAAAUAUUUGAACUGGCACUUCACAAACAAAGGAUAUCAAAAUGGCCAAUAAACAAAUAAAAUCAUGCAAAUGCAAAAAUAAGAGCACAAUGACACAGCACCACAUCAGCCAGAAUGGCUGAAAUAAAAUAUCAAGUGUUGGUGAGGAUGUGGAACAAAUUAACUCUUAAAUUACUGGUACAAAUGUAAAUCUAUAAGCUAUACACUUCAAAAACAAAUGUUUGGUGAUAUCUACGAGAGUUAAAUAGAAGUACACUGUAUAACCCAGCAAUUUGACUCUUAGGUAUAUAUCUAACAGAAAUUAUAUUUAUGUAUACCAGAAGACAUGAGUAAGAAUGUUCAUAGAAGCUUUUUAAAAAAUAUUCUCAAACUAGAAGUGACCCAACUGUCCAUCAACAACACAACAGGUGAAUAAAUUGUGGUACUGGAGUUCCCACUGUGGCACGGUGGAUUAAGAAUCUGACUACAUUGGCUUGGGUUGCUGCAGAGGCACGGGUUCAAUCCCCAGCUCAGUGCAGUGGGUUAAAUGAUCCACUGUUGCCACAGCCGCAGCAUAGGUCACAACCACGGCUCACAUACAAUCCCUGGCCUGUGAACUUCCAUAUGCCACAAGUUUGGCCAUUAAAAAAAAAAAAAAAAAAAAAAA